rnacentral:lncRNA from 1 species
GCGCGUGCGCGGCACGGGCGACGAGGCGAGGUGGUGGAGAAGGCGCGCCUCAGAAACACGCGCUGCUGGACUCCAGAUGGGAAGCCUGGAUGGACCUGGCUUUUGCUCGUUUAUGACCUUGUACUUUAAGCUUUAGUCGGUUUGGGAGCGUGGCACGGCCGCUGUACUCCCAAGCGAACGCAUAUUAGGUUUGGCCCCACUAUAGUUGGGGGUAGGGAACCCAGGGUGCUCCCACGUGUUAGGUGCUGUAGGGAUAGACACCUAGAUUUCUCCUGUGCCUUUUUCUUUCCACCUCUUGAUUCAACCAACAGUUUUUAUUGAGUGCACACUAUAUGCCAGGCAGAGGUGGGGAAGGAAAUCGGGGCGUUGCAUUAUAUAGAACUUCCAUUUUUUGGGUAGUUUUAGUGUCAGGAUUCAGCUUUUGUCAUUUUCCCAGAUAACUGGGAAACUUCCAGAAGGUGCUAUUAAAAUAGUGGCUAGAGGUUCUGCGUGCGUUUGUUUGUUUGGUGGAAUGUAUAUUCCCUGCAUUGCAAGUGAGGUUUGUGGAGGUCGUUUCGGGUUUUGUUUUUUUGUUUUGUUUUGUUUUCCAAGUUUUUUGCUUUUUGGGUUUUUUUGGCAUUUGCAGUGGACCUGUGAAUACCAGAGGGCUUUUAGACACCCAGCAUUAGUUUUCGUUUUAGUUUAUUUUUUAUAGCAUAAUCUGUUAAAAAUACCUUUUGGAUUGCUGUGCCUAAACUGUGCGACAAGGUCUCUCAUUUAGCUCUUGACUAUCUGACCAGGCUUGCCUUGGGGUUGUUGGGAUUAAAGGUGUUUAGCAACACGCCUGGCAACAUUCAGUGUCUUAACCAGAAGUCCAUCUUUUCUAAUAUUACAAGGAAAUCGGGUUCUGUCUUUGGAAAACUUUCUCACUGAAUCUACUGCCUUCGGCCAUGAGAACUUCCUUUCCUCCCCUGCAUUGCUGGACAUUGAACAGAGUUUUUGGCCGUGCCAGGCAAGCACUCCAAGCUAAAUCCCCAACCCUGGGUAACAGCUUUUGUUAGUAGAGCACUUAAUUGAACAAGCCUGUGAGAGCAUGUAAAGAACUGGUGGUUUCUCCAGCUGAGGAAAAAUUGCUCAAAGAUUUGUCGAGGGUCACGUUGUUUGCAGGUAGCAGAUCAGACAGAGUCACAGUCCUGGAAACACCAGGUUCCUAGCUGGGCUCAUUAAGAUUGUAAGUACAAGAACGAAGUUGGAAUUGAUGGCUAAAAGGAUCGUCUACAAAUUACAAAAACGUAUUUUAAUCAGUGAAAAAUACUCCUUGGCUUAAAGUUUAGUGUCUUAACUAAAUGAGAAAUCUAGAUGAAUUUCCUCUUGGGAGAUUCUUAGUGGUGAACGACAUAGCUGGACUGGGGAGAUGGUUUGGGGCACUUGGUGCCAAUGCUGUCAACUUGAGUUUGAAGAAUCCUUGUAGUAGAGGUGGGAGCAGACUCCUGCAGGUUGUCCUUUAACCUGUGUGCAAUCAAAAAAUAGUCAAAAGUU